CCAUCCGCACCUGGAGCCGCCGGCCCCGAGCUCGCUCCUCCUGCGUUUUGCAGGUCCCAGCACCUGGGAGGGCUCCGCGGGCCUGACUUAGGGGAGGUUAACAAGCUUUAAGGUGGACUGUUUGGGAUUUUUUUUUUUUUAAAUGUCGGUGAAAUGGUAAUGGGCAAAGUUACUUUAGUGAUAAAAGUUAAAAGUCCAAUUAAAUCCUCAUGACACUUCCUGGAAAAUGACUCUCUAGGUAAACUUGUUUUUUGGGUGGAAGGUCAGUAUUUUUUAAUACUGCUUUUAAGUUUUAUCAGUUGAUGUUCUAUUCUUCAGAAAGCCUUAAGGGGAAGGGCUUCUUCGUGGGGUGCUUGGGGGCUUGAAGUGCUAGGCCUGUGAUUUGAUGAAAAGCCUCACAGCGUUAGGUUGAAGUUGCCAUAGGUAUUUUUGUUCAGACUUUGAAAGAUUAUAUUCACCCAAAUAUUUUAUGAGAAUUUUCUCGCAUACAGUUGGGAAAAACAAACACUUGCCUAGUGUACGCCUUAUAUAUUCAUCUCCUAGGUUCUGUGAUUAGCAUUUUGCUGUGUGUGUGUGUGUGUGUGUGUGUGUGUGUGUGUGUGUGUGUUUUAUCACAUAUCCUUCUGUCUACAAAAAUGAUUAAGAGGCUUCCAGACUGUGGGGGAGAUGGUUAGCCUAAAUCAUAUGUGGUAAGGUUGUUUCAGAAGCUUGUUUCAGCAUGGACACCACAGACAUUUUGAGACGUCAGAUACAAAAAGAUUUUUUUUUUUUAAGAAUUUUAAAAUUAUAGCUGACAUACAAAAUUUUAUUAGUUUCAGGUAUUCCUAAGUUUUGAUUGUAAGAACAUUUUGUCAAUUCAUGAAGGUGGGUAAAAAUAAUCCUUCUGAAACAACUUAGUCUUCACCAAAAUGUAUGAGGUAUAGGUGAGGUUAUAUGCACUGUUGGUGGACUCCUGAUAUUUAGUAUUCAAAUGAACUAAAUUUACCUUGAUAGAAUUGUCUAGACUCUAGAGCAUUUGCAAUAUCUAGGUUUCCCAUUUGCUGAAGUUUUACCAAGACCACAUAAAAAGGUUGUGUGUCUCUGGCUGCGAAGUGGGCCUCGACUGUGUGUGGAAUUUUUUUGUUUUUUGGAAAAAUGAACUACAUGUCUAGUGUCCUAGAAAUAUGGUUUUAUAGAAGGUAUUCAACAUGCCCUUUUUAGGCUUCACAGUUUAGAAUCUUGAUAAUAAACAUUUUUCUUUGUUUAUAAUAAUCACCUUUUUUCUUCGGGGCAAAAGUAACGUUUUAGAAAAAGAAAAUGUAAAAGGAAGAAAACAAGUUAUCCUCAUUCCUGAGUGGACAUUUUGGUUUUAUAGUUUUUGAGCGAUUUCUGUGAGGGCAUGUCCUGAUAUAAAACUUAAACUUAAAAAUACUAAAACUAGCUUUAGGACUUUUGAAUUAGUCAGAGUGAGAAAUUAUGGUGUUUCAAGUAUGUGUUACUCUAACUAUUUAGUAUAUCGGCACGGUAUUUUCCUGAGAUAGAUUUUCAUGAAGAUAAUCUAAAAUUGUUUGUUGAACUUAUAA